ensembl:lncRNA
CCCCAAUAAAUUGAGUAGAUCAGCUACCAUAUAUUCUCUCUACAUUUGCUGAAAUGUUGCAAUAAACAAGGAAGAAAAAAAUGGCCAUCAAAUCUGUAACCUUGUUAGCACUGACCAUUGAUGUGAAAAAGGGUUCAUACACAAAGCGUACAAGAACAACACCCGGAUCAACUGGAUGAGGAAAUCAGUAACAGUAAAGCCAUUGCAAUCUAUUUCAAUCUAUUGUUAGGCAGCCUACAUUGUUAGGUAGUAUAUUUUCCUAGUUUGCUGUGUGCUACUUGGCUAUUUAUUGCAUUCAUAUAUUGUGUGGGGAGUAAUACAAAACAUAAUUCUAAACAAUAAAUAAAACCAGCGUUUGCAUGUGUAGCAAGGUAGUUGGGAUAACAUAGGAGAUGACAGGUUUCGAGUAAAGGUAAUUUAGCAUGUAUCUAGUAAAUAUAACAGUAUGUAUGUACAUACUGCUAUGGGUAGUGAGAUUUCUUUAAAAAAGUUGUGUUUUGUUGUCAAAUAUAAUAUUUCCUAGUGAAAAGGCUUUGUCUUAGAAUGGGGAAGAGGAACCAUUUCUUGGAGCAAAGAUGUUAACAGCUCUCUCUGCAUAUUUAGUGUAGAAAGGCCAUUACCUUACUACCUUCCAUACCACAGCAAUAGGAAUACAUGUUAGAUGGCUAAUUCAUUGCCAAAAGUGACCGAAGGCUUUUAUACUCAUAUAAGACCUCAGAGAAUGACCACAAGUGACCAAAACUAUAGCCACUAUAGUUCAGUAUAUGUUUUUACAUAGUAUGUUUUUAAAAGAAUAUAUUUCAGCACAAGCCAAUGGCCUUGAAACCCUGAAUAUGCAGAGUUAAAUAUAUGUUAUAUAAAUGAAUAUGUUAACACUUCUCCAUUCUAACAUAAAGCCCUUUCCCAAGAGAAUGUAUUUUGAAGAUGAGACACUAUAUUACACAUACCUACAUACAUAUCACAGACCAUACCCAUCAAAAUGUAUUAUACGGCAUUAUAUUGCACAGUGCACAAGCCCAUGACUGUGACUUCUUGUGACUAUAUUGCACUCAGAUCACAGGAACACUACUGUUCAAAGUUAAAUGAAUGUGUGUUCUACCAAAACUAGCGUUGUGUUUCAAAAUACUGAGGUCGUGUCACUGUCCUCUAUGCUGGUUACGGGGUCUGUAUGACGGGCAAGACAUUGUGUGUUCUCAUUUCAAUACUUUUUACUUUCAUCAUCUUCAUUUCAAUAGUCUCAUUUUGAAACGAUUUUAUGCAAUUUGCUACUUCAUCAUUUUAAUUGUAUUCACCUUUUUUUCUUAAAUCCAUGCAAACUUGACCAAAUUCAAUGAAAUACCCUUUGCUUUAUCCCCUUUUGCAGUCAUUUGAACAAUGUUUAUUAUUUGUAGUACAAAAGACAAUCAACGAAUAUAAAAAAGACCAUUUAUUUAUUUUGUGUCAUUAAAAAGACAUGAGAAAAUACUGAUCAUGAAAAGUAUCAUCAGUGUCUUCAUCCACAGCCUUCCUUUCACUGAAAAAUUGUUUUCUAACACAGUUUUCUAAUAUACAAAAUCACAAUAAAGAGUAGUAAAUAUGUUUAUUUAUUUGUUAAUUAAAAAUGCUUUACCAGUGGAAGGAGACCAAACCAAAGAUUUAUAUUAUUUAUGACGGUUACUGUGGCAUAUGGACUACCAUCUAAUCCAAAAUCUGCCUUAUCUUCAAGCAUCACAUUACUGAGAGAUCUACUCAUAAUUUCACAGACAGACACUACUUACAGUGGUUUUAUGUUUUAUGUCAUGCCAGGUUUUGGCACAUCUCUUUCAUAAGAAACUAUCCUCCAUGCUGAAAAGUACAAGUUUGUUUUCUGUGUGUUUCCACAGGUGCUGAACAUUCAUACACAAGUACGACAGUACAAACAAGCGUUGGAACUAAAGCGGGCUGAUUCUUAGACAUCCCCAUGCAGUGACUGGCUGCUGCUGGUUGUCCAUUGCCAAUAUUUUUUUACUGGAUCUUGAGCAUCAUGGGAUUGGAAGAACACAGCUGAUGCUGGCGUUGGUGUGGGAUGGAGCAAAGGCUUCACAAAAAGUAUCCCUUCAAAUGUCUGACCUGGGAUUUCUUACUUCACGGGCACCUUGGAGUGCAGCUAUACAUUGUUAGAGGGGUUUCUGGAUUUUGGCUCAGGAACAGCAUUUGUCAGCCGGUUUCCUGAAAAACACAUAAGAAGAGACAUUCCUCCGUGAGACCAGCAGAAACUAAUCUGGCGGGAGGCAAUCUAUUUAUUUAUUUAUAAGUAUUUCAGACUACCAAAGGAACUAUUUCAGAGCCAAGCAACUGGAACUCUAUCUAGUUCCUGCGGAGACAAAAACAUCAUGUGAAGAGAACAGGAGCAAAGUAGAAAUCCUUGUGGAAUUUCCAUGUCAUUUCUGCUUAGAUCCCUGAGCGGAGAACAGCCGGCUGUACACAGACAUACCUGUAUAUAGAUACAAAUAUAGACAGACUGGGCACAUAGAGGAUUGAAGAACUGAAUACAGCAAUCCUUAAAUAACUUGUAACUUUAAAAAUGAUGUUCCUUUAAUUUAAAAUCAAAGACUUAAAAAAUGUAUGAAUUUAAGAUGAGGCUAACUUUAGGUUGGGACAAGGCAUACAAGGCUCCCAUUGGAUGAGGCCAGCAGUCUUAUUUUGACCCCAGCUGAAAUAUCUCAAGUCUUUGUUUACACACUGAAAAGGGUGGAGCCUAAAGCAAAGUAGAUACCAGUAGAUGCCUGGUCAAAAUCCCAGAAAGAAUUCUCAAGUAUGGAAGUCAAAGGCAGCUUAUUUGGUCUGCGAGUCAUUCAAAAGUCUUAAGAUGGCUAAAAUUCAAUAGUCAGAGCGUGGCGUUUAAUCUCAUAAAAAAUAUUACCUACCACUAGAAGCAAUACCUUUAAAUUGUUUCUAUUAACGUUACUUUCAUCGACUAUGGGUAAGUGCAGGUUCAACGAGAUCUGCCUCGAGAACAGUGCAUUUAGUUGCAGGUUAAGUCUGUUGAAAGUUCAAUAGUUGAAGCCUGUUGAAAAUAUUGAAAUUUGUAGCCCGCUGCACCUUCUGCAAGAAAACACUAAAAUUAGGAACUUCAUGUAUAAAGGGAUUCAAGGAUAGGAUGUCAAAAAACAAAGCUGCUGUAAAAAGCCACCAGCAGACACCUGCCAUCACCCAAUAUUGAUCUAUAUUCACAUCAGGAGCAUCACCAGCAGACACCUGCCAUCACCCAAUAUUGAUCUAUGUUCACAUCAGGAGCAUCACCCAAUAUUGAUCUAUAUUCACAUCAGGAGCAUCACCAAAGUCAGGCCCCAGCACGACCCAAUCUGCUCUAAUGUUAACUCCUGCAACUCCGUAAAACGACCUCCGGUGCUCGGGACUUUACACACGGUAGCUAAACAUCAGACAUAAAAGCAAUGAAGACAGUGAGCUGUUUCAAACCAUGUUUCCUGAUUCUGACAGUGCUAAAAAGGAGUCACACACACACACAGUUCUGUUGAAUGUUCAUGUUGAAUGUGAAUAAAUUCUAGGACUCUGAUUUUCCUUCAUAUCCUCUGUACGAAGUAUCGUUUUGCCAAUAUGGACGUGAAACGUCUUAAAUUGCAUUCAUAAUGGUCUUAAAAAGGUCUUAAUUUGUUGAAACCUGCAGAAUCCCUGUCCUGCCUUGAAUCCCUUUCAUGUUUUGUCCCUCCUGUCCACCUAUGUAUUUCAUAAUCACCUCUACCUAAAUAGUGUGUUCUUUCCUGUUCACAUACAGGGUCCAUCACCUGUGUCCCCUCUGUCUCUCUAUGGUGAUGCCACUACCUCAAGUCAUGUUUCUGUAUUCUCUCGUCCUCUCUCUCCUCUCAUUCCCUGCCGGGUCCUCUCCGUUUAUCCGUCCUUCUGAGAGAAAAGGAAAUUCCAUGUGCAGUCUGAGCAACCCUGUUUGCCCUCCCAAACACUAUUCUCUUUCAUUCCUUCUCCACAGAUUGUUUAUUUUGGUGCUCUUUAACACUCGGAGGCCUUUCAGAACAGACAAAUGAAAACACCACCCUAACUCUCAAAGCAAUGACACUGCUGCUGGAAGCAGCUUCUCCCAGCUCAGCAAGGAAACAGGGCAAAUGGCACCGAACAAACGCUGAAGCUCCUUUCGACAUGUUUCAGAACCUCUUCUGGAGCGCUCAGUAAGUGCUCUGACAGGGGGGACAAAAGGCCUAAAUACAAUGACAUGAGAACAAAAACAAGAUGAAAAUAGAAGUGCCAAAAGUGCCGAAACAUCUAGUGAAACAUCUAGUCUUUGGUUUCUAUAUGAUACAUCAUAAACCAUUACUGAAACACAGUAUUGUAAAGUAUCAGUAAGUAUUUUUAAGUAUCAGUGUGACAUGUUAUAUAGACUAGGUUGUUGGGUAUGAAUACUUGCAUGUGACAGUGAUAGGUUGGGCCACUGUGGGAAGUCCAAUAGCACAAGGAAUUUAAUCUUCUCAUGUGUAUCGAACUAAGAAAUAGCAACAAAGUAUUGUGGUGUAAUCUGGUUUUGAACAGGCAAAAGGUUUUGUGGCAUAGAUUCAACAAGGCCCUGAAAAUGAAUGAAUGGAAUUUGGUAUUCAAAUAGAUUGCCUUGCCUACCAGAUGUACAUGUAAAGUAAUAAUGUUCAUACUGUCAGGUUUUAUUUUUCAAAAAUGGCCGGCGGUCUAUACAUCUACCACUUCCUUACAUUACAUUAUUAUAAAAAGAACACAAUGAAGGACACAGAGAAAGUCUUUUAUAUAGUCAGAUACUACACUAUACACGGUCUACAUUGGCACUACAUUGCAACUGCUGCAAAUCCUAAAAUAAAUUAAAAGGAAGAAAAUCUUUAUUCUAUUUUUCAUUAUCAGCUCUUCUCUUGUCCUGCCUAUUUUGACUUUCCCUUUUGUGUUUUCUCUUCACUUGUUUUCACUUUUUCAUUAUUUUUCUAGAAUGUACAGUAUAUCUUUGUCUUUACUCCAAGCCAUAAUUCUAAAUGUCCUUCUAUUUUACUCCCUUAUUUUUCUCCCUUUUUAUGUCUUUCCCCAAUGCUCCUCUCUGAAAAUCCCUUUCCAUCCAUGCAUUUGUGCUCAGAAGCAGCUCUGUUUCCCCCCUACUCACCCCUGUCACACUGGCUAACCACAAAAAUGCAGCUGGUGGAGAGUAUGAGGGGUCUGGAAUUCCACAUGCCCUGAGUCAACACAGUAGCUGCCAUGAAGACACACACACACACAUGGAGGAGCAAACACACACACACACACACACACACACACACACACA